rnacentral:misc_RNA from 1 species
AAAAGAAGUCUAUGGGAUUCGUACAGGGACACGGUUAAUAAGCGAACCAACGUUGGUGUCCCCGACACACAACCAUGCUUGCUUUGUCCUUAUUCUCAUUUCCCUCAUCAUCGUCUUGUGACACCUCCCACACCAUACCCACACUUAUACAUGAAGAGAUUGCCAUUUGCUAACUGGAGAGAAAUUGGAACCACAGAGAGAUGGAGGGAGGUGUCAAAUUGGACAGAUGGGGAUACCAAGUCAAUACCACUUCCGAUGCUUGCAUCUCUGCCAUCAACUCUUAUUAUCACCAGGUGCUAAGCUAUGGGAGAGAGAGACGUGUGAUUCUGGAUGCGCCUAUUCAUGACCAGGAUUGCUUAUUAGCCAACCUUUUAGCUGCUCAUUUCCUCUGCUCUACCGAUCCUUCUCGAGCUCCUUUCCAUUUCCAGGCUGCCAAGUCUCGACUUGAACAAGCAACCUCAUAUGAAAAAGCGGUUUUUGAUGCGAUUAAUUCUUUGAUUUCAGAGAACAGAGACGAUGAUGUUGCUGUUGAAUGUCAUGCCAAGCUCUUGAAUGACUACCCAAAAGAUCUAGUUUCUCUGAAAAGGGCUCAACUGUUAUGUUUCUACAUGGGUAGACCUGACCUGUCUCUGGGCCUUGUCCAACAGGUUCUACCCAAAAAUGAACAAGAAGAUUAUAUAUAUGGCAUGCUUGCUUUUCCAUUACUGGAGCUGGGCCGAAUGGCCGAUGCAGAGAAAGCUGCAAGAAAGGGAUGUGAAAUAAACAAGCAUGAUUACUGGGCACAACAUGCUGUAUGCCAUGUUCUUCAGUAUGAGUGUCAUUUCAAAGAAGCGGUAGAGUUCAUGGAAGAAUGUUCGUCUUCUUGGAAUUCUUGUUCAUCAUUUAUGCUGACGCAUAAUUGGUGGCAUGUAGCUCUUUGUUACUUGGAAGGUCAUGCUUCAAUGCAAAAAGUACUAGGAGUUUAUGAUCAUCAUAUCUGGAAGGAGUUGGAAGGAGAUGAUGCCACAUCUCCAGAGGUGUACUUGAAUGCCUUGGGUUUAUUAUUGCGUGUGUACGUGCGGGAUACACUUGAUGUCUUUGAGGACCGUAUGAAGGUCUUAGCAGAUAGAGUAAAAGACGAAGUAAGUUACAAAAGCCAUCAUGCUUUGAAAAACCCUAAAAAUGUAAUCAAGCAAGUUAUGAAUGACUGAUCCCUAUAAAGAAUUAGUUUCAUUAUAGUUUAGCGAAUUUGUGUGUUGUUUUAGGAAACUGUUAGCAAAAAUAUUUGGAUGAGUAUUUCUGCUUUAUUUUACUUGGAUGGCCAAAUAAUAGACAUUAUGAAAUUUUAUAUGGAAACUUCCCUUACGAAACAUGGUGCAAUUGGCUAGGAUUUGAUACUGGCUUCAUUUUGGUUCCUCUCAGUUUAUCAUGGACAAUGAAACAAAAAGCUGAAUUUUGGAAACAUGAUCUUGCUGAUGUGUUUGACAGUGUUGUUAGAACAAGGACAUAUAACAGUGACUGAUAUGCAGGUUGCUAUGCUUAAUUUUUAAAUUUUUUUUUAAAUCAUUAGGGAACUACAUUUCUGGCAGCAUUUAGCAAAUUACAAAUUUAAAACUUCAUUACUUUGACUGGGAAUCAGAAGCCAAGAAUAACUAAAUAUUAGGACUGUGCAGGCUUGUUUAGAGUAAAUUGCUCAGGUUACGCUCUCUUCAAGGAACAAGCCACAUAUGGCUAAAUUGUUUGAAAUGUGGCUUGAUUCUAAUGUUCCGUCUGAUAUAUGCAAGCCUGCAGAAGCUUGGCAAAAACAAUUUAGCUGUUUCUUUUCUGUUAGGCAUGCAGACAUCUUUCAUCCCUGAUUGUGUUUUACGUACCUGAUCUUUGUUUAAAGUUCAUAGUAUUAUAAUAAUUUCCCUUGUCUUAGGCCUUAGAGUACAGAAAUCUGGAGUAGACGCAUACGGGACAAUAAAGCAUAUGGAGAAAACAUCACUUAUAAGAUUACCACUUAUAGUUAUAGUGUCUGUGUUCUGACUUGAAGGAAGCACUAAUUUCCAAUGUGAUCUUAUUUUACAGACGUAUCUUCCUUGCUUCGCAGGCAGUGAUUUCAUAAUAUCACUAAUGCAUGUAUGUGUGUUCAUAUCUUGACGCUCAUUUCUAAUUGUUCUGUGAUAUUUAUGUAUGCACUAUAAUAUUUAGGCCAACUGGCAUUUGGAAUGGCACCUUGACCUGUUGAUAUUAUGGGCCUUAGCUAAGACUGGUGAACUAUCAAAAGCAGAAGAUUUACUCAAGGGCUUGAAAUCCAGGUAAAUGCUUCUUUCCUUGUUGAUAUAUUUUUCUUAUGUAGUUUGGCAUUUAUUUCAUUGCAAUUUGAUUCUGUGCACUCAAGUCACCCUUUUUCUGUGUAGAAUUUGUAGUAUGAACAAGAAGAAGCAACAAAGAAUGCAGAGAGGAAUGCUGGUUUGCUCUUGUUCACUGCUUCCUUUGCCAUUCUUGUUUCACUGCUUUGUUUUUGCUUUUCCAAGUUGAUACAUGAUGAGUAUAUUUAGACUCUAGAUGCAUUGCAUUCAUAUUGCAUAGACAGGCAUGGCAUUGACUACUUUUUGCAACAGUUGGAAACCAUAAUUUUUUAGGGUUUGCAUUGCAGCUCUCUUCCAUUCAUAAUGCUCCUAUUGUAAAUUGUGUUUUGGUUUGAUCAGUUGAUUUUAUGUUAGCUUGGAUCUGCUGGCAUUAUUUUGUUCUGUUACUGUAAAAGGUGGAAUUGCUUUUAAAAAUUCAUAGAUUUAUUUUUGCUUGUUCCCAGCUUGCAGAAGCCCUGUAUGAGUAUGGGAGGGGUAACAACAAAAAAGCGCUGGAAGUACUAGGUCCUGAUUUUGAUGCCAAUGAUUGCAAGAUGAUUGGAGCAUCUGAUGAGCAACUUGAGGUAUUUAAUGAAGUCUGGUAUGAUAUGUUGCUGAAUGCUGGACAAGCUACCAAGGGUAUGAUAUCUCCUACUUUUGCAAUCUACUUGUUGGGUGUGUUUAUCUGACCUUAGUGCCUGAAUUGUAGCAAUUGAAGUAAUUGAGAAACGUAUCAAGAAGAGAGAAGGAGCCCCUUUCAUGUGGCGCCUGCUGGAGAGGGGCUAUGCAAUGACCGGCAGGCAGGAAGCUCAAGUUGCUGGUGAGAAGGCUAGGGCAUUAGAAUCUGCAUACUUCAUUUAGAUGGUAUGAACAUGCAACUAUUGUGCAUUGCUGUUGUUAGCAGUUAGAAAGGUGGAAUCAUCGUUCGCCGAAGAAUCUGAUCUUUUUUAUAAUGUAUGUAAAUCCUGCUCGUUGGAUGCUUAUUUUCAUCUUAAGAUUGUCUGGACAAAAAAACAGAUGCUUCCAUUAGAAUUCCACUCAUAGAUAAUGUAAAAAUGUAAGUUGAAUAAAAAAAGUCUCUCUUGUUUCUUUUCACUUGCAUAGCAAUGGAAACAAAAUGGCUUUAAGUGUUAAAA